AUUGAACGCUGGCGGAAUGCUUUACACAUGCAAGUCGAACGGCAGCACGGGUGCUUGCACCUGGUGGCGAGUGGCGAACGGGUGAGUAAUACAUCGGAACGUACCCUGACGUGGGGGAUAACACAGCGAAAGUUGUGCUAAUACCGCAUACGUCCUGAGGGAGAAAGCGGGGGAUCGCAAGACCUCGCGCGUUAGGAGCGGCCGAUGGCGGAGUAGCUAGUUGGUGGGGUAAAGGCUCACCAAGGCGACGAUCCGUAGCUGGUCUGAGAGGACGACCAGCCACACUGGAACUGUGACACGGUCCAGACUCCUACGGGAGGCAGCAGUGGGGAAUUUUGGACAAUGGGCGAAAGCCUGAUCCAGCCAUUCCGCGUGAGUGAAGAAGGCCUUCGGGUUGUAAAGCUCUUUCGGCAGGAACGAAACGGUGUGGGCCAAUACCCUGCAUCAAUGACGGUACCUGAAGAAGAAGCACCGGCUAACUACGUGCCAGCCGCCGCCGUAA
rnacentral:rRNA from 1 species